AAUGAACGUUGGCGGCGUGGAUUAGGCAUGCAAGUCGAGCGAGAACCCGCAAGGGGGACAGCGGCAAACGGGGUAGUAAUGUGUCGGAACGUGCCCAGAGGACGGGGAUAGCGGCGGGAUACUGCCGGUAAUACCCGAUGAUCUCGAGAGAGCAAAGGUGUGAUUCCGCCUUUGGAGCGGCCGACAUGGUAUUAGCUAGUUGGCGGGGUAACGGCCCACCAAGGCUUUGAUGCCUAGGGGAUGUGAGAGCAUGAUCCCCACCAUUGGGACUGAGACACUGCCCAGACACCUACGGGUGGCUGCAGUCGAGAAUCUUCGUCAAUGGGCGAAAGCCUGAACGAGCGACGCCGCGUGCGGGAUGAAGGCCCUUGGGUUGUAAACCGCUGUCGAGGGGGAUGAAGGCAUUCAGGUACUCCUGAAUGUUUGACAGAGCCCUGGAGGAAGCACGGGCUAAGUUCGUGCCAGCCGCCGCGGUAAUAC
rnacentral:rRNA from 1 species